GAUGAAGAACGUAGCGAAAUGCGAUAAGUAAUGUGAAUUGCAGAAUUCAGUGAAUCAUCGAGUCUUUGAACGCACAUUGCGCCCCCUGGUAUUCCGGGGGGCAUGCCUGUCCGAGCGCCAUUGCCGCCCUCAAGCACGGCUUGUGUGUUGGGCCCCCGCCCCCCGGCUUCGGGGGGCGGGCCCGAAAGGCAGCGGCGGCACCGCGUCCGGUCCUCGAGCGUAUGGGGCUUCGUCACCCGCUCUGUAGGCCCGGCCGGCGCCCGCCGGCGACCCCAAUCAAUCUUUCCAGGUUGACCUCGGAUCAGGUAGGGAUACCCGCUGAACUUAAGCAUAUCAAUAAGCGGAGGA
rnacentral:misc_RNA from 1 species